GUAGCGUGCGCAGGCUACACAUGCAGUCGAAGCGAAGCUCUUCGGAAGCUAGCGGCGGACGGGUUAGUAACGCGUGGGAACGUGCCCUUCACUGCGGAAUAGCCACUGGAAACGGUGAGUAAUACCGCAUACGCCCUUCGGGGGAAAGAUUUAUCGGUGAAGGAUCGGCCCGCGUUAGAUUAGAUAGUUGGUGGGGUAACGGCCUACCAAGUCUACGAUCUAUAGCUGGUUUUAGAGGAUGAUCAGCAACACUGGGACUGAGACACGGCCCAGACUCCUACGGGAGGCAGCAGUGGGGAAUCUUGGACAAUGGGCGCAAGCCUGAUCCAGCCAUGCCGCGUGAGUGAUGAAGGCCUUAGGGUCGUAAAGCUCUUUCGCCAGAGAUGAUAAUGACAGUAUCUGGUAAAGAAACCCCGGCUAACUCCGUGCCAGCAGCCGCGGUAAUACGGAGGGGGUUAGCGUUGUUCGGAAUUACUGGGCGUAAAGCGCACGUAGGCGGAUCAGAAAGUUGGGGGUGAAAUCCCGGGGCUCAACCCCGGAACUGCCUCCAAAACUCCUGGUCUUGAGUUCGAGAGAGGUGAGUGGAAUUCCGAGUGUAGAGGUGAAAUUCGUAGAUAUUCGGAGGAACACCAGUGGCGAAGGCGGCUCACUGGCUCGAUACUGACGCUGAGGUGCGAAAGUGUGGGGAGCAAACAGGAUUAGAUACCCUG
rnacentral:rRNA from 1 species